AGCUGGUCUGAGUGCAAUAGCAGUUACAACUAACUGAUCAAAACCAGUUACAGACUUAUCCUUCUCCACUCGCACUGCUUCACUUGACUAGCCUUUA
ensembl:misc_RNA Y_RNA Y RNA